ACUCUUCAAUUGGGUACUUUUAUUAGUAUUCAAUUUGGUUUCUGGAGGUUACUCUUAACGAGUUCCCCCGUAAUGAAUUAGCCAAUCUAGCCUAAACUCGAGAUUGACUCUGUGUGAUAGACUAUUCGCAGAGGAGAGUUUGUUGGUAGGCUUCCAAUACAAUGUCUACUUUAAUU
rnacentral:misc_RNA from 1 species